GUGAAAUGUUUAGGACCACUAG
rnacentral:ncRNA from 16 species